UCUCCAUCCGCUGCACAGGGAGGACUUCAUUUUGCAGCUGAGCUCAGCCUUUUCUUCAGCAGCUUUCACGCCACCCUCUCUGCCCUGUGCUCAGACAGUGUGGGUCUGAUCGGUCUGCGCCUCUGCUCACAUUCUGUUUGAGUCUGACCCCCUUCCCCAUCAGCAUCCUUUCUGUCCCCCUUUCCCUCUGUCUUCUCCUUGCCCUAAAGCCAUCCCUACUUUUUUUCCUCUCCUCUACUGUUCAUCACACUCAGGACCCAGAGACACCCCAUCAAUCUUCCCCCACUCUCCCCCCAUCACCUUUCCCCACCCUCACCAGAACUCUUUUUUGGUCAGAAUUGCAUUGCACUUUUGCAUACACAGUGGUCAUGUUCUUUUGCCUUCUCUUGCAGUGAAUCUAUUCCGUCUUUACCAUAAUUAUGCAGUUGUACUCUUCACGUAGUGCUCACGUGUUCUCCAGCACACCAGCUUUUCCCCUCAGUGAAGAUUGAUUGUGGUGAGGUUCUCUCUGCGGUGAUGAACUGGGAUUCUGACUGGUGUACUGCAAUCCCUGAUCCCAGGUGGCUCAGAGUCUUCUCUCCAUGAUAGCCAGCGUCAGCAUUCCAGAUGUUCUUUAUGUUGCAACGGUGUGUCAGUUUAUCAAGGAUUGUGAACAUAAGACAAAUCAUUGAGUCCAUCCUGACCAGCUGCAUCACCCUACGGUAUGGCAGCUCUAUCGUCAUGGACUGCAAACGCCUGCAGAGUGGUGAAGACUGCGUCGAAGAUCACCGGGUCUCCUGUGUACUCUCUGCAGAGCAUCUACCAGCGCAAAGUCCACAGGAGAGCUGCCUUCAUCACGACGGACCCCCCCCCACCGAACAAGGUCUGUUCUCUCCUUCUCUCAGGCCGACGGUACAGGAGUGUGAAAUGCAGGACCACCAGAGUCAGGAACUCUUUCUUUCUCUCCGCCAUCAGAGUCCUCAACAGCUGACAGGCGUUUGCAACAAUGGACUGUUACAAUGUCUGAGUCUGUACCCUUGCACAUACUGACUGUUUACAUCCAGUAACACAAUAACUGCAAUACUGCAUGUUGCACAACAGUGGUUGUCACUCAUGCACAUUUAUGUAUAUAGCUUUACUUUUACCUUACUUAUUCAGAGUUUAUAUUUUAUGCUUACUUUUCUUCUCAAAUUGAUUAUUUUGUUAAAUUAUUCUGUUUUUUUUAGUAUACCUUAAGCUUUUAGUGGCAUGCAGUGUGGACAGCAAAGUAGGAAUUUCAUUUUAUAGGGAAGCCUGUUUCCUUACUGUGCAUAUGACAAUAAACGUUUUGAAUCUUGACUCUUGAAGUCAAACAGCAACAGUGCAUUCUAGUGGCCAAAAAUAUAUUACAUUUGUAGUGGUUUUGCACUGUCAUAGGAAAUGAAUGGAAUUCGGUUUGGGGAUGCUAUA